rnacentral:rRNA from 1 species
AGAGUUUGAUCAUGGCUCAGAUUGAACGCUGGCGGCAGGCCUAACACAUGCAAGUCGAACGGUAACAGGAAACAGCUUGCUGUUUCGCUGACGAGUGGCGGACGGGUGAGUAAUGUCUGGGAAACUGCCUGAUGGAGGGGGAUAACUACCGGAAACGGUAGCUAAUACCGCAUAACGUCGCAAGACCAAAGAGGGGGACCUUCGGGCCUCUUGCCAUCAGAUGUGCCCAGAUGGGAUUAGCUGGUAGGUGGGGUAACGGCUCACCUAGGCGACGAUCCCUAGCUGGUCUGAGAGGAUGACCAGCCACACUGGAACUGAGACACGGUCCAGACUCCUACGGGAGGCAGCAGUGGGGAAUAUUGCACAAUGGGCGCAAGCCUGAUGCAGCCAUGCCGCGUGUAUGAAGAAGGCCUUCGGGUUGUAAAGUACUUUCAGCGGGGAGGAAGGGAGUAAAGUUAAUACCUUUGCUCAUUGACGUUACCCGCAGAAGAAGCACCGGCUAACUCCGUGCCAGCAGCCGCGGUAAUACGGAGGGUGCAAGCGUUAAUCGGAAUUACUGGGCGUAAAGCGCACGCAGGCGGUUUGUUAAGUCAGAUGUGAAAUCCCCGGGCUCAACCUGGGAACUGCAUCCGAUACUGGCAAGCUUGAGUCUCGUAGAGGGGGGUAGAAUUCCAGGUGUAGCGGUGAAAUGCGUAGAGAUCUGGAGGAAUACCGGUGGCGAAGGCGGCCCCCUGGACGAAGACUGACGCUCAGGUGCGAAAGCGUGGGGAGCAAACAGGAUUAGAUACCCUGGUAGUCCACGCCGUAAACGAUGUCGACUUGGAGGUUGUGCCCUUGAGGCGUGGCUUCCGGAGCUAACGCGUUAAGUCGACCGCCUGGGGAGUACGGCCACAAGGUUAAAACUCAAAUGAAUUGACGGGGGCCCGCACAAGCGGUGGAGCAUGUGGUUUAAUUCGAUGCAACGCGAAGAACCUUACCUGGUCUUGACAUCCACGGAAGUUUUCAGAGAUGAGAAUGUGCCUUCGGGAACCGUGAGACAGGUGCUGCAUGGCUGUCGUCAGCUCGUGUUGUGAAAUGUUGGGUUAAGUCCCGCAACGAGCGCAACCCUUAUCCUUUGUUGCCAGCGGUCCGGCCGGGAACUCAAAGGAGACUGCCAGUGAUAAACUGGAGGAAGGUGGGGAUGACGUCAAGUCAUCAUGGCCCUUACGACCAGGGCUACACACGUGCUACAAUGGCGCAUACAAAGAGAAGCGACCUCGCGAGAGCAAGCGGACCUCAUAAAGUGCGUCGUAGUCCGGAUUGGAGUCUGCAACUCGACUCCAUGAAGUCGGAAUCGCUAGUAAUCGUGGAUCAGAAUGCCACGGUGAAUACGUUCCCGGGCCUUGUACACACCGCCCGUCACACCAUGGGAGUGGGUUGCAAAAGAAGUAGGUAGCUUAACCUUCGGGAGGGCGCUUACCACUUUGUGAUUCAUGACUGGGGUGAAGUCGAAACAAGGUAACCGUAGGGGAACCUGCGGUUG